rnacentral:rRNA from 1 species
UUCCUACGGGGGGCUGCAGUAAGGAAUAUUGGACAAUGGUCGCAAGACUGAUCCAGCCAUGCCGCGUGCAGGAUGAACGAUCUAUGAUCUGUAAACUGCUUUUGUUCGGGAAUAAACCCCUUCACGUGUGGAGGGCUGAAUGUACCGAAAGAAUAAGGGUCGGCUAACUUCGUGCCAGCAGCCGCGGUAAGACGAAGGACCCAAGCGUUAUCCGGAUUUAUUGGGUUUAAAGGGUGCGUAGGCGGGUUGUUAAGUCAGUGGUGAAAGCCUAGAGCUUAACUCUAGACUUGCCAUUGAUACUGACGAUCUUGAGGAUAGUUGAGGUGGGCGGAAUGUAUCAUGUAGCGGUGAAAUGCUUAGAGAUGAUACAGAACACCGAUUGCGAAGGCAGCUCACUAAGCUAUUUCUGACGCUGAGGCACGAAAGCGUGGGGAUCAAACAGGAUUAGAUACCCCGGUAGUC